UACGUAGGGGGCAAGCGUUGUCCGGAUUUAUUGGGCGUAAAGAGCGUGUAGGCGGCCAGGUAGGUGGGUUGUGAAAACUGGAGGCUCAACCUUCAGAGGUCGACCCAAACCCCCCUGGCUAGAGUCCGGAAGAGGAGAGUGGAAUUCCUGGUGUAGCGGUGAAAUGCGCAGAUAUCAGGAAGAACACCCGUGGCGAAGGCGGCUCUCUGGGACGGUACUGACGCUGAGACGCGAAAGCGUGGGGAGCGAACAGG
rnacentral:rRNA from 1 species